GGAUGAACGCUAGCGGCAGGCUUAACACAUGCCAUUCGAGGGGCAUCGGGAGGGAAGCUUGCUUUCCUUGCCGGCGACCGGCGCACGGGUGAGUAACACGUAUGCAACCUGCCCUCUUCAGGGGGACAACCUUCCGAAAGGGAGGCUAAUCCCGCGUAUAUCGGUUUCGGGCAUCCGAGAUCGAGGAAAGAUUCAUCGGAAGAGGAUGGGCAUGCGGCGCAUUAGCUAGACGGCGGGGUAACGGCCCACCGUGGCGACGAUGCGUAGGGGUUCUGAGAGGAAGGUCCCCCACACUGGUACUGAGACACGGACCAGACUCCUACGGGAGGCAGCAGUGAGGAAUAUUGGUCAAUGGGAGAGAUCCUGAACCAGCCAAGCCGCGUGAGGGAAGACGGCCCUAUGGGUUGUAAACCUCUUUUGUCGGAGAACAAAACCCGGGACGUGUCCCGGACUGCGUGUAUCCGAAGAAAAAGCAUCGGCUAACUCCGUGCCAGCAGCCGCGGUAAUACGGAGGAUGCGAGCGUUAUCCGGAUUUAUUGGGUUUAAAGGGUGCGUAGGCGGUCUGUUAAGUCAGCGGUAAAAUUGCGGGGCUCAACCCCGUCGAGCCGUUGAAACUGGCAGACUUGAGUUGGCGAGAAGUACGCGGAAUGCGCGGUGUAGCGGUGAAAUGCAUAGAUAUCGCGCAGAACUCCGAUUGCGAAGGCAGCGUACCGGCGCCAGACUGACGCUGAGGCACGAAAGCGUGGGGAUCGAACAGGAUUAGAUACCCUGGUAGUCCACGCAGUAAACGAUGAAUGCUGGUUGUCCGGGUCGAAUGAGAUCUGGGCGGCGAAGCGAAAGCGAUAAGCAUUCCACCUGGGGAGUACGCCGGCAACGGUGAAACUCAAAGGAAUUGACGGGGGCCCGCACAAGCGGAGGAACAUGUGGUUUAAUUCGAUGAUACGCGAGGAACCUUACCCGGGCUCAAACGGGAGUGGAAUGGACCAGAGACGGUUCAGCCUACGGGCCGCUUCCGAGGUGCUGCAUGGUUGUCGUCAGCUCGUGCCGUGAGGUGUCGGCUUAAGUGCCAUAACGAGCGCAACCCCCGCCGGCAGUUGCUAACGGGCAAUGCCGAGGACUCUGCCGGGACUGCCGCCGCAAGGCGUGAGGAAGGUGGGGAUGACGUCAAAUCAGCACGGCCCUUACGUCCGGGGCGACACACGUGUUACAAUGGGCGGUACAGCGGGAAGCCAGGCGGCGACGCCGAGCGGAACCCGAAAGCCGUUCUCAGUUCGGAUCGGAGUCUGCAACCCGACUCCGUGAAGCUGGAUUAGCUAGUAAUCGCGCAUCAGCCAUGGCGCGGUGA
rnacentral:rRNA from 1 species